GUUAUUAUAAAUAUUAACGUCAUUUAACAAACAAAAUGUGAUAUUCCAUAUCAAGGAUUAAUAUGUCGGUAACACUUACUUACAGAGAAACCAUUAAUCUUUUAAUUGAUUGUGUCAUCCAAAUCACAAUAUUAUAUCUUAUAAAACGACAUUUACUGUCUGAAAAUGGAAAAAGCUACAACUUACGUUUAAAUACAAUCCAACGGCCGACGGAAAGUCUAACUACAUUGCCAUAACCUCAAUAGCCACGACAGAUGACAAGGUGUACCUAAUCCCUGAAGAGUAUCAAGCAGCUUCACUUCAUAAACAAAUACAAACUUUAAAAUCGUUUGUUACAGUGAGAAACACAUAAAAAAAAGAUAUCAAACAAGAAGUGUAUGGAUAAAAGUAACUGAGAGUAUUUUACAAACAUACUUUGACGAAGCUGAAAAUAUGAUCUUUCAGGACUAAUGUCUUGAAGAAAUAACCCAGGAACAACUGGCUAUUAGUUAUAGAAAGAGCACUGGAAAUCCUGUAGUAAAAAUUUUAGAAAAAUUUAUUGAUGUUCAGCAGAAAACAGAAAAAUAAAAUAUAAGAAAAUUAACAGAGAAAUUUGUGAUUGAACAGUUUGAUAGAAAAAAUUUAAAUGCAUGUCAGUGGAUGUAGGUUUUUGAAAAAGAAUGUGCAAGGUUUGAUUUAGGAACAAUUGAAGAAAAGAUUGAAAUUCUUAGAUUUUUUCAAGAAAAAUCAUGCACUUAUUGGUAAACAUCCAUGAUGAUUAAAUUUACCUUACAGUCAGAAUAGUCAGCAUGGAAAAGAAACUUCUUAAAAACAUUUGGUAAUAAAGGAUGGACUACAAGCAACUAUGCUUUAUCUUUCAAAUAUCAAGCAGGAGGCUCUCUGUUAGAAUAUGCAAUAAAAAAGGAAAAACUCUUACUUGAAACAAGAAAAACAAUGGACCAGGGCACUCUUAUAGAUAUUAUUGCUGCCGGCUUACCAGACUUCAUUACAGAUAGAAUUGACAAAGAGAAUAUUACAUACACACAAGACUUAUUUAAUGAUCUGGGAAAGUUGGAACAUUUUGUUACAAAGAAAAGAUCCAUAAAAUUCAAAAAAAAAUAAUACCAAGCCAAUAAAGGAAAAAUGUAAAAUUUGUGAGAAGUAGAACAAAGGAGUGUUGUAUCAUUCAGAAGGUAACUGUUGGUUCAAGACAAAAAUAAAUAGUCAAAAAAAGAAAAAACAAAUAAGUCUUAUAAAUAAUUCAGAAUUGGAAUGUGAACUACAAAGUGAAGUACAAAAAAACAACUAGUGCCGCCAUUAAUUAAAGUAAAAUUAACAUUAAACAGAAACAUUUAAAUAUUUGGUAUAUAUGACUCGGGUUCAAAUGUCUCAUUGAUAAAUUCAAAACUUCUAAGGAUAAAAAAUAAAGAACUGAGUUAUAAUAACACUACCAACUUAAAAACAAUUAAUGGCGUUAAAAAGGCAAAAGGCAUAAUAACACUUGAUGUUACAAUAUACAAUGUUUAGAAAAAAAAUGUUUUCGUUAUAGACAGUGUAAAUUUUGAUUAUUACUGAUAAUUUUAUUAUAAAAUAAAGGAAUUUUGGUGAAAAUAAACUACACUUGUUGUACCACAGAAUCAUAGACAAUUUAUAUUAGUUGAGCUGUCACAGACUAUAUAUUUACAUCUAGUAAAGUAUUAUAUAUGUAUGUACAUGGACUUAGUAUGGAAAGGCAAAAUUUAAUAAUUAGUUCAACACUCCUGCCAAAUUUGAGCCUUUCAUGUACUAAAUUAAUUACAAACGAAACAAAGUAAACUUACUUAAUUAUAUUAAAGAUUACACAACAUAUCUAUGGAUAACAUGCCAAUUUGGUCUCUCAUAGAUUGGAAUUUAUCUAAAAUAAAAUCAGCAAGUUGAUUGCAUGUUGAAACAUAUUUUAGAUCAAUAACUUUAGCAUAAAACUUUUCUUUUAUAAAAUGAUAUUUAGUGUCUAUAUGUUUACACCUCUUAUGAAAAUUUCCAUUUUUAAUAACGCUUAUUGCAUUUUGACUGUCUAUAUUUAUCACUACUAUUUGUUGCUGAAAUUCACCAAAAUGACAAUAAUUGUUUAAUCCAAAUGGCUUCUUUGGUGGCAGCACAGGCGGCCAUAAAUUCCGCUUCCGUAGUCGAUAGAGCGACAAUGUGUUGCCUUUGACUGCACCAUGUUACAGCAGCUCCACAUUUGAUAAAAAUGUAUCCAGUUGUUGAUCUUCUAGUUGUGAUGUCAUUAGCAUAAUCAGCAUUACUGUAGCCUACUAAUUCAGAAGGUUUUCAGAAACUCUGGCCAUAAUUGAUAGUGUCUUUGAGAUACUUUAGAAUCUUCUUGACAGCUGUCCAGUGAGUUUCAUUGUAGCAAUUCAAAAAUCUACUUACUAAGCUAACAGCAAACAUUAUGUAUGGUCUGCUUACUAUGGCGACAUUCAUCAAAGAACCAACAGCUUCUCUAUAAGUAAGAUUCUUGUCAGGCUGGUGCUCGCUUUUCUCUAGUUUUGAAUGAGGGUUAACUGGAACACUGUUGGGAUUGCAGAACCGACUUUGAUUUACAAAAUAGAAGCCCAUCAUCACAUCACAUAAAUACAGAGAUAAUACUUUGUUCCUUUAGUAUUUGCAACAGAUACACAUUGGUCUGCUUCACUAUUUAUGAAACCAAAUUUUUGAAGUACAGAAUAGAAUUUAGUGUUCCAGCACCGUGGUGCUUGUUUAAGACCAUACAGUGACUUUAUCAAUUUACAUACUUUAUUGGGUUCAUGUAUUAGACCUUCAGGGGGAUACAUAUAUAUGUUUUCUUCUAGUUCCCCAUACAGAAAAGCUGUCUUCGUGUCAAGUUGAAGAAUUUCAUAACCAUUUUGAGCAGCUAGAGAUAACAAUAAAUGUAUGGAAUCAUACCUGACAGUGGGUGAGUAUGUUUCCUUAUAGUCAAUACCUUGUGCCUGUGCAUAACCCUUUGCACAAAGCCUGGACUUGAAGCGAGGACCUGUUGGUUGGUCUUUUAUUCUAAAGACCCAUUUACAGCCAAUGAUGUUUGUAUUUUCAGGCAUGCUCACCAAUAUCCAUGUUCCAUUUCUUUCAUGGGCUUCAAGUUCUUCUUCAAUUGAAUUUUUCCAUUUUUCAGUGUUCACACAUCUAAUAGCUUCCCUGUAUGUUUCGGGGACUUGCUCAGGCACUAAGCAUUCAUCAUAGCAAAGGUGUUGUUUGUUGUUGUUAUCAUAGGUUUAUUCUUUAUUUUUGUUUCUAGGUCUCAAUGUUAUGUUGCUUCGGGAAGGAGUAAUCUUGAUUUCUGGUAAGUUUUCAUCUAAAUUUGAAUUAUUUUUAACAGGAUUAUCUGAGCUCUCUGUGUUAUAAGGUUCUUCCCUUCCUUCUUCA